UUUUGUUUAGCUCAGUGGUAGAGCAUUUGACUGCAGAUCAAGAGGUCCGUGGUUCAAACCCUGGAGCCCCCC